UUGUGUUUCUGUGUUUGAUAUGAUGUAAAGCACUUUUAAAUGCCUUGCUGCUGAAAUGUGCUAUACAAAUAAAAUUUUAUUUGAUUUUUGAUUUGAGUAGUACCACCACCCCAAACAAACGCUGUAAAAAAAAAAAAGAAUUAUUGACAAAUGUGUAACCUGAUACACAGAAAGUUUUUUUUUUACAGUACAAAAAAAUUUUAAUUUUUUAAAAACAAACAUUCUUCAAACAUAAAUACAUAGACCAAAUGACAUUUUUAAGAGGCCUUCAUCUAAUUGUGACAUUAAUGACGUAGAUUUCACUUGGCUUAAAUUAUUCACUCCUUUACUUUAGUGCAACAUACAAAGUUGACAGAAUUUUCUUCUCUUGACGUCAGAGUCUAAUCGGAGGUUAUUUUGAAAUGAGGUACAAAAUCUGCACUUAAAAUCUAAGCCUUCCAAGAUAUGCGAUAUAUUACCAAAUAAAGAGCAAGGCUUGGUAGAUUUUAUUUUUGAAAGAAAAUGGAAAAAAAAAAUAACCCACAAAUGUCUUUUUGACGAACUUGAAGUGUUUUCAUAAUGAGGGAAACACUUCUACACAGUAUAAUUAAAUGUUAAAGAUCAGCCUUACAUUCACUCCUGAUUAAGAUAAAGUAAAGAUUGUUCAGGAGACUCAAGUCCUGACCUCAAGUGCAAGUUGAGUCUACAGUCAUUAGAGUCCAAGUAAAGUCUGAGGACUUUGAACAAGACUCAAAUCUAAGUCGCAGAUUGAAGUCAGAUGAUCCAGCUACCUCUACGUGACCAGAUCGUCAACACAUUUUAAUACUUGAGAAUCUAUUAUCGCUAUGGCGACCACCCAAACCCCUGCGUCACCUCAGUAUCUACACAACAGCACCCGUUAUUAUUAGACCUCGCACCAAACACCUUAUAUCUUCUUAAAAUUCCUGCUGCAGUAAAUUCCUGAGUAAGUGAGGACAUGAUGUCAACUACAGCCGCUGUGAGUGAGUGAGUGAGUGAGUGAGUGAGUGAGUGAGUGAGUGAGUGAGUGAGUGAGUGAGUGAGUGAGUGAGUGAGUGAGUGAGUGAGUGAGUGAGUGGGAGGGGUGGUGUCCUUGCACUGGAGGACAGAACACCUCUGCAGGACGGAAGCAAAAGAUAAAUCAUGGCGAUACUCUGACUUGACAGGUAGUUCUGAAUAAAACCUAACCUUUCUUCUAUUACAGACUUACAACAGAGGUUUCAUUUAUCGUUUCUGAAAUUUUCUAGUAAAUUAAUCGGCGUAGGGUAUUAUUAAAACAUAAAAUCCCCCUCUAAACCAGUGUCCAAGAAAAAGGAGUGCAGACUACAAAGACAGGCGAAUUUGGAUGUUUACAUCACAGACAAUUGAUGCCAAAACAUCACGAUUGUGAUUUUCCGAGGUGUGUAUGAUGUAAAUUAGACACUUUGUCACUUGUUAUUUCCACUUAGAGGAGACAGUUCAAUGCCUCCUAAUCACACAACACACCAGGGUACUUCAAGGACUUCUGCAACACUGAAGAUACUUGUACCCUUCCUCUUUCUGACAGCCAAAGCCUGAAGGGUGCUACAGCUCUUCAAUCCACCACUACAACAACACGCAUCCUACCUGCAAGAUGCACGUAUGCCCAUGGGACAAGAAGCGAGGAGGAAGACCAGUCACUGCCUCUCCAUCGCUCCGUCUGACCGAGAUCUCUCCUUGGCUGUCGUCAGCUUUUGGCCCCACCCCCCUCUCGCUGACAGCUGGAAGAUGAUUGGGGGAAAGACCCCAGCACUGCAUUGCAGGUGAGGUGCGACGUCAGUGCCCCUCCUGAUCCGACCAAACACCAUCCUCCUCUGCCCCCAGACAGUCCAUCACCACCAACUUCAAUGCGUGGCUUUUAUUAGCUAAAUGACCAAGAAAUACACCGUUUCUCUCCAAUCCGGACCCAGAGUGGGCUUUUGUAACCGUGACAGGUCUUACUUUACGUGUUUCACCUCACAUAUCUUGAAAUAUUUCU